rnacentral:tRNA from 1 species
GCCUGGGUGGUGGAACUGGUAGACACAAGGGACUUAAAAUCCCUUGCUCCUUGUGGGCGUGCGGGUUCGAUUCCCGCCCUAGGCA